AUUGAACGCUGGCGGCAUGCUUUACACAUGCAAGUCGAGCGGCAGCGCGGGGGCAACCCUGGCGGCGAGCGGCGAACGGGUGAGGAAUACAUCGGAACGUACCCCGGAGUGGGGGAUAACGCCGCGAAAGCGGCGCUAAUACCGCAUAUGCUCUGAGGGGGAAAGUGGGGGACCGCAAGGCCUCACGCUCUGGGAGCGGCCGAUGUCCGAUUAGCUAGUUGGUGGGGUAAUGGCUUACCAAGGCGACGAUCGGUAGCUGGUCUGAGAGGAUGAUCAGCCACACUGGGACUGAGACACGGCCCAGACUCCUACGGGAGGCAGCAGUGGGGAAUUUUGGACAAUGGGGGCAACCCUGAUCCAGCCAUGCCGCGUGCGGG
rnacentral:rRNA from 1 species